GAUCGAGGCUCCCCCUUCCCUAAGCACAUGGUGACAACGCAAAUGCUGACAACAGAAGGUAUUUUAGCUUAGGACUCUCUUCGGACCACCUCCCCCCUUGAUGGACCUAAUGUUGAGGAUGGAUGCUUUCUCUUCGGGUUUUCCUUUUCGACACACACCUGGUAUCAACAUGGACCUCUUUCCAUCUGCUCUUCGACCCAUACAUGUUACCCACAUAAAAUUUCUUUGAUAUGCUGUGA